rnacentral:rRNA from 1 species
GUCCACACCGUAAACGAUGAGAACUAGAUGUUGGGAGGGUUUGCCUCUCGGUGUCGCAGCUAACGCGUUAAGUUCUCCGCCUGGGGAGUACGCCGGCAACGGUAAAACUCAAAGGAAUUGACGGGGACCCGCACAAGCGGUGGAGCAUGUGGUUUAAUUCGAUGCAACGCGAAGAACCUUACCUGCCCUUGACAUCCUCGGAACUUGUCAGAGAUGACUUGGUGCCUUCGGGAACCGAGUGACAGGUGCUGCAUGGCU